GUCCUCCCUUUCCCCUCCCUUUCCUCUCCCAUCUGAAACUUUGAACUUUGAAAUUGAAAGAUCAGAGAACCCUAGCCCUCAGCCGGCAGCCCCCGCAGCCCCGCAACCCCGCAGCCCCCACAGCCCCUUCUCCGUCGUCGUUCCCUUCCCUUCGUUGUCUCUCUUCACUGCGUGCGCCGUCGCUGCUUCUUCUCUCCUUGCUGUCAGUCGUCGCUACUCAGCUCCUCGCCGUGGGUCGUCGCUGUUUCGCUCCUCGCCGUUUGUCAUUUCUGCUUUUCUGCCUUCUCACCAGUCUUGCUAGGUGGUCUCUGCUUCUCUGCUCCUCACUCUUCAUAAGAAAAGAGUUAAUUAGCAAGAGUGGCUGACGGUUUGUCAAUUUCUUGAGUUGUUGGGUGUUCAGCUAACUGGUGGUGAUGGGUAGCUAGAAGAGGUUAAGUGGGUAAGGGUUAAUGAUGAUGGAAAGAACGAAGAACUGGAUGAUGAAUUUGAUGAUUUUCUUGAUAGCAAGCCUGUUCUAGAAUUGUAAGUAACAAGUUUCGGAUAUGCAAGGAAAGAAACUCCUCUUCUUAGUUCCAGAUUCCUCGAACACCAUGGCGGCUUCCAAAACCACAACCAAAACCGAUCUCUUUCUUGCGAGAUUCCACGAGAUCCAGGCAAUCCGAAUCUGAUGAUUGACUCACUCAGGCAGUUGCUUGCUACCAGAGCGGCGGCCAUCUUGUUAAAACGGACAGGCUGCGUCUGCAUAGUAUUUGAGCAUGGAAGACCGGCGGCCUGGUCAUUGUUGGCGUGGGGGCCUUCCAAUCUCAUGGCUGCCUGAUCGAUCUUGAGUGAUUACAAAAGCAGAGAUAUUGCUCUUUGAUUUCGAAGAUCGGUUACUGUAGCUGGCAACUAAAUCAGAAAGCUGUGCAGUCUAAUCAUGCUGGUCGCCAAUGCAGCAAUCAGAGGAGCUUCCAAUGGGCAAGGAUCUAAGGGCAACAUGACCAAAAAAGUCAAGCUGCAGAAGUGGAUGCAACAACUCAGAGGGACAAUGUUGAACUUGUAGCUGAAAAUGAUCGGAGUACCCCCAUAUUUGCAGACCAACCAAACAAGGAGCAACCUGUGGAUUCAACGUCUCCUUUGUCCGGCACUUCAUUAUCAUAAAGCCAACUGAUGAUGUUGGUAAACAUGCCACAGAUGAUGUGAAAGUUUUAGCAGUUGAAACUGUUUCUGAAAUUGCCACUGUAUCUACAAAUGGUGAGUCUGUCAAAGAAAAUGCUUUUGAGGAGGAUCCUCCCAAACUUCCAAAGGAAUUGAAGCCCCAAGUGAUGAACUCACUAAUAUUGGCCAAACUAACAAGCCUAGGGAUCUGGAUGCGAAUCAAAAUGUGAAUCAAGAGAGAUCAGAAUCUGUGGGUGCUUAUAUUGUUCCUGGACCUAAAGAUGGUGAUGUAAAGACACAAAUUACAUUGGCUUGUAGUUUUUUAUUGUGUACCAUUAUAUAAU